GUUUCGGUGGCCUAAGUGGUUAGAGCGUCCGCCUCGGAUGCGGGAGGUCGCGGGUUAGAACCUUGAGACA